rnacentral:misc_RNA from 1 species
GGAAAAAAAAAAGGAAAAAGCAAAGAAAAUGGGUAACUUAAUUGUUGUCAAUAUAUUUAUUUAAUUCCGUAUUUUGUUAUAUUCUUAUGGAACUAUCAUGUAACCUGAAAUAUGUAACCUGAAAUGUAUCCUAGAGAUUUGAUUAAUAAGAUAUGCAAACUUUGUGCUACAAAAAGAAAAAGCACCACAAACAUUGUUUCCUCUACAUGAUGGCCAACAAAACAAGAGGAUGCACUUUUAUUUGAGCUAAUUCAGAGGUUAUUUACCUCAUAUUUGUAUUCUUUCUUUACGCAGUUGGACCAGCCACAUUAAAGUUAACAUCAGAUGUAGCAGAUAUUAUGAUGUUAUCAUUUUUUCAUAUGCUAUUUUCUUUCAUAUAUUAUUUUGCAUCUAAAAGUUUUCCCCUCAAAUGAAAAGUGCAUAGAUUUAUUUAGAUUUUAAACUCCUUGAAAUUCUUCAUAUUGCUUUUACUAUGAGCAAUCAUACUCUUGAAG